GAAGGAAAUCAAUGGAGCUGCAGCUCAAGGUUAUUGGCUUUUGCUUGGGGGGUUUGGAACUGCAGGACUUAGAGCCAGAUCGAUGUGGUGAAUGGUGAUACACUCAUAUGCUAAUGCACAUGACAUUGAAGAAAGAUGACAUGAGAUUGCACGAGCUUUGUGCCGUCUAUCACGCAUCGGAUGGUUGCGAGCAACCGCUGGUUUGGUGGAUGAUGAUGUAAAACCGAUGGUUUCACGAUCUCCAGGCAGGAAUCACCUCAAGAUGAGUAAUCUAUUCAUGGAGCAGCAGAAGGGGCUAGUGCUCCACCAUGCAUGCAGGACACCGGGUUUCUUUGACCUAGGCGAGCUCCAUCAAAGGUCGUGUGAGAUUUUAUUAACCAUAAUGGAUGUGAAACCUAGUGCUACUCACAUAGUCUAAAUGGAAUCGCCCAGAAGAGACACAUAGAGAAUACUUGUUUGUACUUACAAAAUCACAGCCUGCGAGGAAAUUGCUUCUAAGCACGAAUCCCGAGGUAUUGAUUUUCUGUCACGUAAUCCAUACAUUGCUGCUAAUUUUUAGUCGAAGUGUAUAAUCUUGAAAAGCAAGAGACUCAAAUAAGUAGAGUAUUAAGCUUAGUUAUAGCCAUGUGAUUGUCUUGGCAAAGUUUUUACCUUUGGGAAGGCAAGAGAAGUCUAGAAGAUAGCAUGGUAAGUUGGUAGCAGCACCUGCAGUUUCGAUUUGCAGAUGGAUGAUAGAUCAGAGUGACCAUUUCAACGACGAAAUGGUGUCAUCGUGCAUGGAAUGAACACUGGACGGCUAAUGGGCUGCACGUCGAGCUGUGCCAUCAACAUCAACAUUCCUUGAUUGGUGGUUGGGGGUUUAUUUAUAUUCCUUCAUUUACCUGUUCUUACUCACAUAAAAUUCAGGUUUUCAGAUAAGUUUAUUCCGGCGAUCGUUCUUGGAAACGCAGGUCUUCUCUGCUCAUGCGAAACGUGGCAGCAACGAAAGAAUAAUUCUCAGAGAUGAAAUCCAGACAUCGCAAUUAUGCAUACAUUGACCUAAUGGCCUUUGACUCCAGAACUCAGACAUCUCUGUUCCUUGACUGCCAAGACAGAUCUUCCUACAAAUACCAAUAAGCAUCAAAAGUCAAAAUCGAGCAGCGAGUCGCCGUCCUGACAAUGGCGUAUGAAGCAGCAGAGGCCAUUGCUCUCAAGGGUGACAAUGGUGGCGUGAGAAGGAGAAGAAGCCAUGAGCAGCAGCAAGAGGAGGUGAGCAAGGAGAAGCAGCAGCUCAGAUGGAGAUGGAAGAGCAUCGCUCUCUGGAUCGUCAGGAAGGUUCACGCUGCCUCUGAUACCUCAGGGACGACGAAAUGAAUUGAAGGGCAUGUGACAAUUUUUUGUCUCAUACUCGUAGAUGCUUAAAGAUUGAAGGUUGUAUUUCUUAUAUUUUUAUUAGAUCAUGGUAUAUGAUGUUGCCAUACUGUAUAUUUAUUUAGUAGCGCCAGUAGCUAGGGAAGUGUGUCAUAUCAUCAAACUUGAGUUCUUCACCUGUAGUUGUAAUUAGCGGCUGGUGCCAUUUGUCGCGUAAGCAAGUGCCAAGGUCUGAAAUUAUAGCAAUC